ensembl:snoRNA Snord113l5 small nucleolar RNA, C/D box 113 like 5
AGGAUAAGUGAUCAUAACUGUCAGUGUAUGAGACUUAAAUAAUGAUUAACAUGUAUCUCAAACCCUGAGGCUCAA